rnacentral:rRNA from 1 species
CCUACGGGAGGCAGCAGUAGGGAAUCUUCCGCAAUGGACGAAAGUCUGACGGAGCAACGCCGCGUGAACGAUGAAGGCCUUCGGGUCGUAAAGUUCUGUUGUUAGGGAAGAACAAGUGCUAGUUGAAUAAGCUGGCACCUUGACGGUACCUAACCAGAAAGCCACGGCUAACUACGUGCCAGCAGCCGCGGUAAUACGUAGGUGGCAAGCGUUGUCCGGAAUUAUUGGGCGUAAAGCGCGCGCAGGCGGUUUCUUAAGUCUGAUGUGAAAGCCCCCGGCUCAACCGGGGAGGGUCAUUGGAAACUGGGAAACUUGAGUGCAGAAGAGGAAAGUGGAAUUCCAAGUGUAGCGGUGAAAUGCGUAGAGAUUUGGAGGAACACCAGUGGCGAAGGCGACUUUCUGGUCUGUAACUGACGCUGAGGCGCGAAAGCGUGGGGAGCAAACAGGAUUAGAUACCCUGGUAGUCCACGCUGUAAACGAUGAGUGCUAAGUGUUAGAGGGUUUCCGCCCUUUAGUGCUGAAGUUAACGCAUUAAGCACUCCGCCUGGGGAGUACGGUCGCAAGACUGAAACUCAAAAGGAAUUGACGG